UCCGCCCCGUCACGUGCGCUCCCGUCAUGCCCCGCAAGCUGCCGUUCAGCGCCAAGCGGAAAAAGCAACAGCUCCGGGACCGGAGGGAGCGGAAACGGGGCGAUGCCCCGGCCGGUCCAGCCUCGGGCCCCGGCAGCCGCAGCGGGAGCCGCGAGCGGGGCGGCGAUGGCCCCCCCGGAGACCCCCCCUCAGAGCCCCCCCGGCGCCACGACCCCGGCAGGUUCCGGCUGCAGCUGGGGGGGCCCCGGGCCGAGGCCCUGGAGCGGAGCCGGCGCCGGGCCCAGGAGGAGCUGCUGGAGCCGCUGCCCGAGAGCGCCCUGGAGCUGGAGCCCGACAGCGUCUACGGGACCGGGCUGGGGUUCCCGCGGCGCCCGGCCUGGAGUUUCGGGAUGAGCGCGGAGGAGCUGCGGCGCCGGGAGGAGGCGGCGUUUGGGGACUUCCUGAGGGACAUCGGGGACAUUGGGGACAGCGCGGGGGACAGCGCCGGGGACAGCCGGGGGCUGGCGCCCUUCGAGCACAACCUGGAGACGUGGCGGCAGCUGUGGCGGGUGCUGGACAUGUCGGACAUCGUGCUGCUGAUCGCCGACGCGCGGCACCCCGCCCUGGGCAUCCCGCCCUCGCUGUGCUCCCACAUCACGCAGGACCUGGCCAAGGGUCUCAUCCUCAUCCUCAACAAGGUGGAUCUGACCCCGCCCGCGGUGGCCACGGCCUGGAGCCACCUCCUGAGGGCGCGGUACGGCCCGGCCAGGGUGGUCCCGUUCAGCACCAACCCCGGAGCACCCCCAGCCCCGGGGCUGCAGAAGAGGCAGAAGAAGAGGGGGGGGCGCUGGAGCCGCGCUGUGGGACCCCGACUGCUGCUGGAGGCCUGCGAGGAGAUCGUGGGGGGGGCAGUUGACCUCAGCAGCUGGCGGGCGCGGCUGGAGCGGGCGGAGCAGCGCCCCGAGGAUGAGGAGGAUGAUGAAGAUGAGGAGGAGGAGCCGCCGGGAGGGGAGGAAGAGGAGGAGGAGGAAGGGGCGGGGCCUGGGGGCGUGGCCCCGCCCCGGCAGUGGGAGCGCUACCGGCACGGCGUGCUGACCCUGGGCUGCGUGGGGCUGCCCAACGCCGGUAAAUCGUCGGUGCUGAACGCGGUGCUGGGCCGCAGCGCGGUGGGCGUGUCCCGCGCCCCCGGCCGCACCCGCUACUUCCAGACGCAUUUCCUGACGGCCACGGUGCGGCUCUGCGACUGCCCCGGCCUGGUGUUCCCCUCCAGGGCCCCCCCCGAGCUCCAGGUCCUGGCAGGGGUGUACCCCAUUGCCCAGCUGCAGGACCCCUACUCGGCCGUGGGGUUUUUGGGGUCCCGCCUGGCCCUGCCCCCGCUGCUGCAGCUGCGCCCCCCCAGCGGCCCCGGCUGGACGGCCUGGGAGCUCUGCGAAGCCUGGGCAGAGCAGAGGGGUUACAAAACGGCGAGGGCGGCUCGGAACGACGUGGCCAGGGCGGCCAACGGGCUCCUGAGGAUGGCGGCCGAGGGGAGGAUCCGGCUGUGCAUGAGACCCCCGGGGUAUUCACUGCAAAAAGGUACCAAAAAUAUCCAAAAUUGGGGAUUUGGGGCAGUUUUGGGUGAAUUUGGGGGCUCCUGAGGAUGGCGGCCGAGGGGAGGAUCCGGCUGUGCAUGAGACCCCCGGGGUAUUCACUGCAAAAAGGUACCAAAAAUAUCCAAAAUUGGGGAUUUGGGGCAGUUUUGGGUGAAUUUGGGGGCUCCUGAGGAUGGCGGCCGAGGGCAGGAUCAGGCUGUGCAUGAGGCCACCGGGGUAUUCACUGCAAAAAGAGCACUGGGAGCUCCACCCCGACACCGCGGCCAUGGCGGCCAUGACAGGGGGCGGGGCCAGUGCCCCUCCCCCGCCCAGCGCCGCCUCCAGCUCCGAGGACGACGAGGGGGAGGAGCCAGAGGAGG